rnacentral:lncRNA from 1 species
AUGUUCUGCACCUUCCCCUCCCUUCCCCUACCCACACCCAUCCUCACACAUGCUCCUCCCUGCCCCUGACACUGACAACCUAGCAAUCACUAGGAGAAAAGCCUGGCAUGUGUGGGAGCCACCCUCAGAGAAGCUGUCCCGAAAGAGAGGUGCUAACUAGGUGAAGACAUAUGACUUUCUGAGCACUAUUUCUUAAUACUAAUGGAGGGAGAUUGUGGCAUGGAGCCAGGAAAGAGAAAAGGCAUGAAAAGAAGAACUAAUUUGGAGCUGGCGGGAUCGGUGAUAAUGAAACCUACCUUGCUGUUUCAUGUUGAGGAAUCACUGCGGGAAGGGUUGAUUUUGGCAGCAGGAGCCUGUACGCUGUGCUAAUUCUCCAUCUCAGGAAGAAACAGAAUCAUGAAGUCUAAAGAAACUGAGAGUCUUAAGAGCACAAGGCCACAUGAGCCAAUACCAGUACGCAUUCUCAACUCAUGGAAGACACAGACACUUAAGUCUCCACAAUAUUUCCACUACGGCAUGGCAUUUGCUGGGUGUAUUAGUCUGUUCUCACAUUGCUAUAAAGAACUACCUCAGACUGGGUAAUUUACAAAGAAAAGAGGUUUAAUUCACUCCUGAUUCUGCAGCCUGCACGGAAGCAUGGCUGGGGAGGCCUCAGGAAACUGACCAUCAUCAAUGGAAGAUGAAGAAGAAGGAGGCGCAUCUUACAUGGCCAGAGAAGGAGGAAGAGAAAGAAGGGGGAAGUGCUACACCCUUCUAAACAACUAGAUCACCCGAGAACUCACUGUCAUGAGAAUAGCAAGGGGAAAAUUUGUCCCCAGGAUCCAAUCACCUCCCACCAGGCCCCUCCUCCAACACUGGGAAUUGCAAUCUGCCAUGCGAUUUGGAUGGGGACACAGAGCUAAACCAUAUCAGUAGGUGACUAGUUAGUCAUUUUUUUCUUUUACACAGAAGCUAGUGUGGACAUAAAUUAUCAUAGCAUCAAAGAUACCUAGAGAUAAACCAAUUAAAAAUAUGCACAGGAUAUCAAAGUCAGGUCUAAAUAUUAUUGAAAGAAAUUGAAGAAGACCUAAAUAAAUUAAAAAAUACAUCACUUUUUUGAACUGGAAGGAUCUCAUCUCUGUAAAUAAGUCAAACCUCUCCAAAUUGAUCUACAGAAUCAAUAUAAUGCCAGUCUAAAUCCCAGGAAGGUGUUUUGAGGAAAUUGGCAGGCUAAUUCGAAAACUAAUAUAGGUAUGUCAAGUCUUAACAGUAACAGAGACAAUCUUGAAGAAAAAUGAAGUGGGAGGAUAUCAUGACUCACUUUUAAAAGUGCACCAAGUAAAACAGAGUGGCAUUUGUCAUGGGAUAGAAAAA